AGUGAACGCUGGCGGUAAGCCUAACACAUGCAAGUCGAACGGCAGCACAGUAAGAGCUUGCUCUUACGGGUGGCGAGUGGCGGACGGGUGAGGAAUACAUCGGAAUCUACUUUUUCGUGGGGGAUAACGUAGGGAAACUUACGCUAAUACCGCAUACGACCUACGGGUGAAAGCAGGGGAUCUUCGGACCUUGCGCGAUUGAAUGAGCCGAUGUCGGAUUAGCUAGUUGGCGGGGUAAAGGCCCACCAAGGCGACGAUCCGUAGCUGGUCUGAGAGGAUGAUCAGCCACACUGGAACUGAGACACGGUCCAGACUCCUACGGGAGGCAGCAGUGGGGAAUAUUGGACAGUGGGCGCAAGCCUGAUCCAGCCAUACCGCGUGGGUGAAGAAGGCCUUCGGGUUGUAAAGCCCUUUUGUUGGGAAAGAAAAGCAGCAGGUUAAUACCCCGCUGUUCUGACGGUACCCAAAGAAUAAGCACCGGCUAACUUCGUG
rnacentral:rRNA from 1 species